UUUUGUAUAAUGGGUCAGCGACUUAUAUUCUGUAGCAAGGUUAACCGAAUAGGGGAGCCGAAGGGAAACCGAGUCUUAACUGGGCGUUAAGUUGCAGGGUAUAGACCCGAAACCCGGUGAUCUAGCCAUGGGCAGGUUGAAGGUUGGGUAACACUAACUGGAGGACCGAACCGACUAAUGUUGAAAAAUUAGCGGAUGACUUGUGGCUGGGGGUGAAAGGCCAAUCAAACCGGGAGAUAGCUGGUUCUCCCCGAAAGCUAUUUAGGUAGCGCCUCGUGAAUUCAUCUCCGGGGGUAGAGCACUGUUUCGGCAAGGGGGUCAUCCCGACUUACCAACCCGAUGCAAACUGCGAAUACCGGAGAAUGUUAUCACGGGAGACACACGGCGGGUGCUAACGUCCGUCGUGAAGAGGGAAACAACCCAGACCGCCAGCUAAGGUCCCAAAGUCAUGGUUAAGUGGGAAACGAUGUGGGAAGGCCCAGACAGCCAGGAUGUUGGCUUAGAAGCAGCCAUCAUUUAAAGAAAGCGUAAUAGCUCACUGGUCGAGUCGGCCUGCGC
rnacentral:rRNA from 1 species